rnacentral:rRNA from 1 species
UACGAAGGGGGCUAGCGUUGUUCGGAUUUACUGGGCGUAAAGCGCACGUAGGCGGAUCGUUAAGUCGGGGGUGAAAUCCUGGAGCUCAACUCCAGAACUGCCUUCGAUACUGGCGAUCGUGAGUCCGGAAGAGGUGAGUGGAACUCCUAGUGUAGAGGUGGAAUUCGUAGAUAUUAGGAAGAACACCAGUGGCGAAGGCGGCUCACUGGCCCGGUACUGACGCUGAGGUGCGAAAGCGUGGGGAGCAACAGGAUUAAGAAACCCCAGUACGUC